rnacentral:misc_RNA from 1 species
GAUGAAGAACGCAGCGAACGUGCGAAACGUAAUGUGAAUUGCAGAAUUCAGUGAAUCAUCGAAUCUUUGAACGCAUCUUGCGCUCCUUGGUAUUCCGAGGAGCAUGCCUGUUUGAGUGUCGUGAAUACUCUCAACUUCAACCCUUUUUUCGGAAAGGGAGGAAGGUUGGACUUGGGUGUUUGUUGAAGUGCGAGCUUCGACUCAUCCUAAAUGCGUUAGCGAUCUGCCUCGAUCACACACAAUGUGAUAAUUAAAACUAAAGCAUUGUUUAAUGAUCAAGUCGAGACUGCUUCUAACUGUCGCAAGACAAUAACGUGCAUACAUUUGUGCAUGUCAUUUGACCUCAAAUCAGGUAGGACUACCCGCUGAACUUAAGCAUAUCAAUAAGCGGAGGA